rnacentral:rRNA from 1 species
AAAUUGAAGAGUUUGAUCAUGGCUCAGAUUGAACGCUGGCGGCAGGCCUAACACAUGCAAGUCGAACGGUAACAGGAAGCAGCUUGCUGCUUCGCUGACGAGUGGCGGACGGGUGAGUAAUGUCUGGGAAACUGCCUGAUGGAGGGGGAUAACUACUGGAAACGGUGGCUAAUACCGCAUAACGUCGCAAGACCAAAGAGGGGGACCUUCGGGCCUCUUGCCAUCAGAUGUGCCCAGAUGGGAUUAGCUUGUUGGUGAGGUAACGGCUCACCAAGGCGACGAUCCCUAGCUGGUCUGAGAGGAUGACCAGCCACACUGGAACUGAGACACGGUCCAGACUCCUACGGGAGGCAGCAGUGGGGAAUAUUGCACAAUGGGCGCAAGCCUGAUGCAGCCAUGCCGCGUGUAUGAAGAAGGCCUUCGGGUUGUAAAGUACUUUCAGCGGGGAGGAAGGUGUUGCGGUUAAUAACCGCAGCAAUUGACGUUACCCGCAGAAGAAGCACCGGCUAA